CCUACGGGUGGCAGCAGUGGGGAAUAUUGGGCAAUGGACGCAAGUCUGACCCAGCAACGCCGCGUGAAGGAAGCAGGCUUUCGGGUUGUAAACUUCUUUUAAGGGGGAGGAGCAGAAGACGACACCCCUUGAAUAAGCCACGGCUAACUACGUCCCAGCAGCCGCGGUAAUACGUAGGUGGCAAGCGUUGCCCGGAUUUACUGGGUGUAAAGGGCGUGCAGCCGGGCCGACAAGUCAGGUGUGAAGUCCGCGGGCUUAACCCGCGAACUGCAUUUGAAACUAUUGGUCUUGAGUACCGGAGAGGUAAUCGGAAUUCCUGGUGUAGCGGUGAAAUGCGUAGAUAUAAGGAAGAACACCAGUGGCGAAGGCGGAUGACUGGACGGCAACUGACGGUGAGGAGCGAAAGCGUGGGGAGCAAACAGGAUUAGAUACCCGGGUAGUC
rnacentral:rRNA from 1 species